UACGGAGGGUGCAAGCGUUGUCCGGAAUCACUGGGCGUAAAGGGCGCGUAGGCGGCUCAUGAAGGCUGUGGUGAAAGUCCGGGGCUCAACCUCGGAUCGGCCGUGGCGACUCGUGGGCUGGAGCACUGUAGAGGCGGGUGGAAUUCCGGGUGUAGCGGUGGAAUGCGUAGAGAUCGGGCAGAACACCCGUGGCGAAGGCGGCCGGCUGGGCCGAUCCUGACGCUGAGGCGCGAAGGCGUGGGGAGCGAACGGG
rnacentral:rRNA from 1 species